AACAUACCUAAACGUUGCCUCGGCGGGAACAGACGGCCCUGUGAAAACGGGCCGCCCCCGCCAGAGGACCCCCUAACUCUGUUUCUAUAAUGUUUCUUCUGAGUAAAACAAGCAAAUAAAUUAAAACUUUCAACAACGGAUCUCUUGGCUCUGGCAUCGAUGAAGAACGCAGCGAAAUGCGAUAAGUAAUGUGAAUUGCAGAAUUCAGUGAAUCAUCGAAUCUUUGAACGCACAUUGCGCCCGCCAGUAUUCUGGCGGGCAUGCCUGUUCGAGCGUCAUUACAACCCUCAGGCCCCCGGGCCUGGCGUUGGGGAUCGGCGGAGGCCCUCCGUGGGCACACGCCGUCCCCCAAAUACAGUGGCGGUCCCGCCGCAGCUUCCAUCGCGUAGUAGCUAACACCUCGCGACUGGAGAGCGGCGCGGCCACGCCGUAAAACCCCCAACUCUUCUGAA
rnacentral:misc_RNA from 1 species